rnacentral:rRNA from 1 species
AUACUUAGUGGCAGACGGGUGAGUAACAUGUGGGUAUCUACCCUUUGGCCUGGAAUAACACGAGGAAACUUGUGCUAAUACCGGAUAAGUCUUUACGGAGAAAGCUUUAUGCACCAUUGGAUGAGCCCGCACUUGAUUAGUUUGUUGGUAGGGUAAUGGCCUACCAAGACUAUGAUCAAUAGCUGAUUUGAGAGGAUGAUCAGCCACAUUGGGACUGAGACACGGCCCAAACUCCUACGGGAGGCAGCAGUGGGGAAUCUUGCACAAUGGAGGAAACUCUGAUGCAGCGAUGCCGCGUGAGUGAAGAAGGCCUUUGGGUUGUAAAGCUCUUUCGUCGGGGAAGAAAAUGACUGUACCCGAAUAAGAAGGUCCGGCUAACUUCGUGCCAGCAGCCGCGGUAAUACGAAGGGACCUAGCGUAGUUCGGAAUUACUGGGCUUAAAGAGUUCGUAGGUGGUUGAAAAAGUUGGUGGUGAAAUCCCAGAGCUUAACUCUGGAACUGCCAUCAAAACUUUUCAGCUAGAGUAUGAUAGAGGAAAGCAGAAUUUCUAGUGUAGAGGUGAAAUUCGUAGAUAUUAGAAAGAAUACCAAUUGCGAAGGCAGCUUUCUGGAUCAUUACUGACACUGAGGAACGAAAGCAUGGGUAGCGAAGAGGAUUAGAUACCCUCGUAGUCCAUGCCGUAAACGAUGUGUGUUAGACGUUGGAAAUUUAUUUUCAGUGUCGCAGGGAAACCGAUAAACACACCGCCUGGGGAGUACGACCGCAAGGUUAAAACUCAAAUGAAUUGACGGGGACCCGCACAAGUAGUGGAGCAUGUGGUUUAAUUCGAAGAUACGCGCAGAACCUUACCAACACUUGACAU